UUGCCAGAGAAGGGAUCUGGCAGGCAUCUAGUGUCAGGGUCAAGGGCUGGGACUGGGAAACAGAAACACUGGCAGCAGACAAGGGAAGAAUGGCAGGCACUGCUGGCUUCUGCCAGUCUCGGCUUCAUAGAUGAAAAGGAUUCGACUCGUCCACAUAAAUCAGCCAUGGAGGGGCAGUGGGCCCACACAGUAAUUUCAGAAGGUUCCUGUGGUCCACCCAGCUGCAGAGGUGAGGCCUGUAUCCAAGUGAUUUCACAAGGACAGAGCAGCCAGAUCAGCAGAAAUUCUCCUCCGGGACAAAAGAAUCUGUCUUCAUCGGACUUUACGUGCUCAAUCAACUUGGAAACCAUGUGGAAAAGCCCCAGUCUUCAAAAUCCAAGAAAGGAUCCUUUAUCUUUUCUAAACAGUUCAACCUGUGCUUUCCCUUUGGCAAACAGUUCGAGAAACCGGAAAUAUCCUGUUGGCUAGUGAAAAGCCUUAAGGAACCAAAGGAACCUGCAGACUCUGUAUAUUUACCCAGGGAUCACUUUCCCGGUGAUGAAAUGUAACCAGUUCUUUUGUGGAAUGGAGCAAUCACUGGGUGCCAGUAACACUAUGCUAUGAUGUGUAGAGAGGGAAAUGAAGGCUAGCUCAUCCGAAAGAAACUACAGGGGAAUUUCAGAUCGGCAGAAUGCAAUUAUCCAAGUUGGAAUUGUUCCAGGACACCAAAGCGAACUCUAAAGGUAUCUUCAUCUGUGAUGGAGAGAGAAGAUUAAGAAAAGAAAGAAAGGAUUUCAUGGAUCUCAUGAAGAGGAAAUAGAAACAAAAAAGAACCCAUUUGGAAUGUCAAUUGGUGUAUAUGGUUUGCUUUUGAGUUCUUUGGCAGAGAGGUGAUCUGUAAAGUAAAUGCUACAGCGAAAUUACUUAAUAAUAAGAGUACUGUAUGUCUUCCUCUCCACACAAUUUACAGUAGAAUCAAAGGACUAGGCUUUCACACAGCCCUUACAGGAAAAGCAAGACACAGGCAAGCAGAAAUAAAUUAAGCAUCUGUCAUUGAUUGUCAUGGAUAGCACCAGCUUAUUGAGCUAAUACUUUAUUAGUGUGCUAGAGCUGGGUUGAUGAUGGUCUUUUUAUUGUUUUUGUGGUAACUCUUUAUUUUAAGUAUCUUAUCAUUAUGAAUUCAUUUAGUAUUGAUUGCAAUAGCACUGAUCAUUAAGAAUUAAUUUGGCAUUACCAUGGAUGUUAUAUGCACUUAUAUAAGAGUUCGGCUGUAAUUCAAAAUUAAUUAAUAUGGUUAAGUGUUAUUGCUUUUGCAAUUUUGUAAUUUCUAUAAUAUAUCUAAGGUAUUUUUUUUUCCAGUAGGUGAAUCCUAGCAGAAAAUCUACCGAAGGCAUUCUUCUUUGGAGGGCAAUUUCAUUUAGCAAUAAAUGGGAAAUCUGCUCAUGUCUUUAAAAAAUUUUUCUUCAUGUCUUAAAAUACUUGGGAUUCCAGUCCCAGAAUUCAGGGCUAUGGACAAACAAAAGACUCGAGUCCUGGAAAAAUGACUGUAUGUGCUGGGUGUUCUCACUUGCUUGGCACGGUGUGGGGAGAACAGUAUCAUUGAGAGUUUACCCCUCCUCAGUGACUCUGUCUCUCACCAAGGAUGAUUUGUCCCUGUCAGAGUGAAGGGCCCCCAGCAAAGAAACUCUAUUUACUUAUAAUGAUGUUGAAUUACCAGCAGGUACAAUUCAGGACACACUCCUAGCAAGUUGAGAUUAUUGAUGUAGGUAUUAGUGGGAACAGCAAGGUUCAGGAUCUAAGUCACAUGUCACAUGUCUGUGGCCUUUAGUUAAAAACCACCUUGCCACCUUUGCUGCUACUGCCAUUCACCCUGCAUGGUGGCAUGCGUAAAAGUACUGGGAUGUCAUGCUGUGGUUGGCUGACAUGAUGCAUAUCUGGAUUAGGGCAUCCAGGGAUUCAUCUUUCAACAACCCAACACAUAGAAUUGCUCUGACUGGAUAAAGUAUUAGAGUUUUAAUGAAGAGGUGGAUUCUGAGGGACAAUCUGGAAGAUGGGAUUGCCCAAAAGCCAGAUCCAUAUGAAACGACACUAUGGUAGGUUCUAGAAUACCAGGGACCAUGGAAGUUACUGAGAAGAGGCAGAACACAUGUAACUAACAUAGAAUCUCAAAAACAAAACAAAACAAAAACUUUUGACCAAGGACAGUGCAAUAUCAGCCAAAGAAGCAGGGCAGGGACCAGUUAAUAACACACUGGAAAUCAGAUAACACAGCUGCAGAGCGGAAGCAUCCGAAGUCCAGAAUUCUCCUGUCCCACCAGAUUGGUUAAAGGUUUCGGGAAAAGGGAAGACUGAAGCUAACUGAAGUAAUGUGGAUCUUAAUACCGUAAAUUAGCAUGUCCCUUGAUUAUAGGUGUUUCAGGGUGUCUUCGGUGGCAACGAAGCUCUAUUUGCUGAUAAACACGAGUUCAACAACCCCGCAGCUCCCAUUCGAGAAUAUGCCUUCAACCUUAGAAACAAGCACGGAGCAGAGGGGAACACAUCAACGUGGAGCAGAUGCGAUGAGACCAAAUGCUCUCUUCCUCGUGAUGGCCGUUGGUUAUACCUGUGGAUAGGCAAGCUAAUUCCGCCGCAAAUGUGCAAGAGAGGGUAGUACUAACGUACAAUGUGUGGUCCUGGAGGCUUUGUUCCCACCGUAAUAGGGUGCUUCGUUUCACAAGACCUGGCACGCAGAGAAGAACACCGAAACAGACAGCCCCCAUGCAUUUUGGAACUGCGAUCUCUCUCCGUACUGCUUAGAGAACGCCCUGGCUCUCAGCAAUGUUGACAUAAACAUCCUGGAAUUUCUUAUUUGGUGUUGGAAAGUAAUGAUUCUUUCCACUUAAUGUGCUCAGUGACUCUGCACCCUAUUGUUUUCCGCCCAUUUGAAAAUGCCCGAGGAUGUCAUUAUAACUACAU